AAGACAGCUAAGUUCCUCAGGCAGCUGCCUGUUCUCCAGAUAUCUACCUGCCUAGAGACGGGUCUCUUUUCUGUAGAUACCAGGGUAGGGGCGUGGACUCCGGCUUACACCAGCUCAGGUCUAAGCAGUGUUUAUCGCGUCGCUCGCCUCUCUAUAGACUCCACAAGCAUAGAGCAUGGGCGUACAACAUCUAUAUUUUAAAGAAGCACGAUUCAACUGUCCGGAGCCUGCACUGCAAAUUUUGGGCUCUGACUUGUGGCUUUGCUGUCUCCUCCGCAUUCAGAUUUGUACAUCAGCACUCAACGGAUCUCCUUCCCCCUGAGAACUACUGAGGAUACCUUCUGAGAGGCCAUGCUUCCCCCAGAGAACUACUCAGAUGUUCAAACAAGAUCCUUGGUGGUAAGACACGGGUAUUGCUUUCACUUCU
rnacentral:lncRNA from 1 species